GUGCACACUUGGCACAAGCCAUGAUCCGUCCCUGAGACUGGGUCCAGGAUGAGAAAAAAAACCUAUGCAGUACAGGUUGAUGCUGAAAAGAGAAUUUCAAACCCUCAACUCUGAUGACUCAGCUGCAAGAGACUCAGGUCAAGCCCAGUCCAGUGGUAAAAGGGACAAGAAAGAUCCUGCAGCAUCAUUCUUCAGAUUUAACAAAAAUCCUCAGGUUUUUCAAAAAUCUGAAGUGGACACCUAUUUGGAUUCCCCAACCACAGAUGGGAUUGAUGAAUUCAUGCAGUUCCCAAAGCUCAGAGGGCAGUUCAUUAAACACAACACUGCGCUGCCCUCAAGUGCUCUAGUAGAGGCUCUUUAGCAUCGGUGGUCUAUUAUUCAGACCGAGGAGAAACCGGCUGGGAGAUGCCCACUUUGAGAAGCAGCUGAUCUUGAAUGCCAACAAAAAGAUUUGAAGGAAGCAAAAAACAGCAGAUCCACCAGGGAGAGACCACUGUGACCGAGAUUCUUCAUUCAGAUAAGGGAUUUUUGGGCUGGACAGAAAAUAAC